ensembl:lncRNA
UGUUCAUCAUGACGUGUGUGGCGUGUCAGAGUAAUAUAAUUACACCAGACAGCCGUCCACCUCUAGUACUCUAAUGAAUUUCUGACUUGGCAAAGACCGAUUCCUGAAUAUGUGGUAAUUGUCAACUGAUGUAUGACACCAUAUUAAGAUCCCUGCAUUAGCAUGUCAGAGUAUAUAAAUGGAAAUGCAUUAAAGAGUCAGAAGAUGCCAGCCGUCGUAAAACAGAGAAUGAUGUAUGCGCUCUGUUGCAUUCAGUGAGAAUUCAGAGAAGAGCUGCAGACCGUAUUAAAGAGAUAGUUCACCCAAAAAUUAAAACAUGCUCACCCUCAGGCCGUACAAGAUCAGGAUGAGUUUGUUUCUUCAUCAGAUUUGUAGAAAUGUAGCACUGCAUCGGUGUCUCAGCAAUGGAUGCUCUGCAGUGAAUGGGUGCCGUCAGAAUGAGAGUCCAAACAGCUGAUAAAAACAUCACAAUAAUCCACAAGUAAUCCACAGCACUCCAGUCCAUCAGUGAACAUCUGGAGAAGACAAAAGCUGAAACAAAUCCAGCAUUAAGACGUUUUUAACUCAAAUACAUAAAGUACAUCGCUGUGACCAAAUCAAAGAGACUGUUUUCUCUAGAUGUGCACAGAAUAACUGACUUAAUUAGUCAGUUAUGUUCACAGAAACCUGUGCUUUUUCUCUGCAGUGAAUUGGUUGUUGUCCGUCGGCUGACACGAGGUUCACAUGAUGGAGAUGACAACUGUGAAUGUGGCCACAUAUCAUCAGCGGGGUCAGAUUCAGUCAUAGGGAACAUCAAUCACAAUCACAAUCGCCUCCAAUUACGCUCCCCUUGAAAAGCACCAUGGGCCACGGCUGCUGUAACCAGCUCAGCAAGAUGAAGAUGCUGCGGCACAAAUCGCCAAAGUCACGUUGAUUCCCUUUUGAUUGUGUGCAGUUGUUCUUUACUGGUGGGGUAAA